GACGAACGCUGGCGGCGUGCCUAACACAUGCCAGUCGAACGCGAACGUCGGGUCUAGGCGCGCCCGGGAGCGUAACCCGACGGAAGCUGCACUUAGAUUCGGAAUACCUCCUAGCAGGGGGUAAUAAUACCGGAUGAUAUCUUAGGCCGAAAGAUUUAUCGGCUUUGGUUUGGCCCGCGUUGGAGUAGCUAGUUGGAAAGGUAAAAGCCUACCAAGGCUACGAUACAUAGCUGGUCUGAGAGGACGACCCGCCAUACUGGGACUGGGACACGGCCGAGACUCCUAGGGGAGGGAGCAGUGGGGAAUAUUGGACGAUGGGCGAAAGCCUGAUCCAGCAAUGUCGCGUGAGUGAUGAAGGCCUUAGGGUUGGAAAGCUCUGUUAACCGUGAUGAUAAUGACAGUACCGGGAGAAUAAGCUACGGCUAACUCCGUG
rnacentral:rRNA from 1 species